rnacentral:rRNA from 1 species
AUGGGCGCAAGCCUGAUGCAGCGACGCCGCGUGAGGGAUGACGGCCUUCGGGUUGUAAACCUCUUUCAGUAGGGAAGAAGCGUAAGUGACGGUACCUGCAGAAGAAGCGCCGGCUAACUACGUGCCAGCAGCCGCGGUAAUACGUAGGGCGCAAGCGUUAUCCGGAAUUAUUGGGCGUAAAGAGCUCGUAGGCGGUUUGUCGCGUCUGCCGUGAAAGUCCGGGGCUCAACUCCGGAUCUGCGGUGGGUACGGGCAGACUAGAGUGAUGUAGGGGAGACUGGAAUUCCUGGUGUAGCGGUGAAAUGCGCAGAUAUCAGGAGGAACACCGAUGGCGAAGGCAGGUCUCUGGGCAUUAACUGACGCUGAGGAGCGAAAGCAUGGGGAGCGAACAGGAUUAGAUACCCUGGUAGUCCAUGCCGUAAACGUUGGGCACUAGGUGUGGGGGACAUUCCACGUUUUCCGCGCCGUAGCUAACGCAUUAAGUGCCCCGCCUGGGGAGUACGGCCGCAAGGCUAAAACUCAAAGGAAUUGACGGGGGCCCGCACAAGCGGCGGAGCAUGCGGAUUAAUUCGAUGCAACGCGAAGAACCUUACCAAGGCUUGACAUGAACCGGACCGCUGCAGAAAUGUGGUUUCCCCUUUGGGGCUGGUUUACAGGUGGUGCAUGGUUGUCGUCAGCUCGUGUCGUGAGAUGUUGGGUUAAGUCCCGCAACGAGCGCAACCCUCGUUCUAUGUUGCCAGCACGUGAUGGUGGGGACUCAUAGGAGACUGCCGGGGUCAACUCGGAGGAAGGUGGGGACGACGUCAAAUCAUCAUGCCCCUUAUGUCUUGGGCUUCACGCAUGCUACAAUGGCCGGUACAAAGGGUUGCGAUACUGUGAGGUGGAGCUAAUCCCAAAAAGCCGGUCUCAGUUCGGAUUGGGGUCUGCAACUCGACCCCAUGAAGUCGGAGUCGCUAGUAAUCGCAGAUCAGCAACGCUGCGGUGAAUACGUUCCCGGGCCUUGUACACACCGCCCGUCAAGUCACGAAAGUUGGUAACACCCGAAGCCGGUGGCCUAACC